rnacentral:rRNA from 1 species
GACGAACGCUGGCGGCGUGCUUAACACAUGCAAGUCGAACGGAAAGGCUCCAGCUUGCUGGAGUACUCGAGUGGCGAACGGGUGAGUAACACGUGGGUGAUCUGCCCUGCACUUCGGGAUAAGCCUGGGAAACUGGGUCUAAUACCGGAUAGGACCGCACGUUGGAGUGUGUGGUGGAAAGGUUUUUCUGGUGUGGGAUGAGCUCGCGGCCUAUCAGGUUGUUGGUGGGGUAAUGGCCUACCAAGACGGCGACGGGUAGCCGGCCUGAGAGGGUGGACGGUCACAUUGGGACUGAGAUACGGCCCAGACUCCUACGGGAGGCAGCAGUGGGGAAUAUUGCACAAUGGGGGAAACCCUGAUGCAGCGACGCCGCGUGGGGGAUGAAGGCCUUCGGGUUGUAAACUCCUUUCGCUAGGGACGAAGCUUUUUGUGACGGUACCUGGAGAAGAAGCACCGGCUAACUACGUG